UUGUUCUUCAUCUUUUCAAUUUGUUCAACCUUUCUUCACGUUCUGCAUAUUAUUCAUUUUUCUUCAUCUUCUUCCCAAAAUGGAAGACAUGACCAUCACUGACAAAAAUCAUUCUUAACCCAAUUCAAAAUCGAAAUCGAAAUUGAAAUCCAUUCAAAAUCUUGAGUUCCUCAUCUCAAAAUCGAAAUCCAUUUGAAAUCCAAUUCUUCCAUUCAAAAUC
rnacentral:lncRNA from 1 species